UCAGUAGCAGCUAGCAGGCACUGUGAAAACGAUAAGGUUUGGAUCAGCCGAGCCGGCAGCCACAGCCUUUCCCUCUCCCUCCCGAGCGCCGGAGCUCGUCUCCUCUCCUCGCCGGCGCCACCGCCCCCAUGCUCCUCCCAAUGCGCGGCCUCCCGGCCGCCCCACCCCGCCCGCUCGCCCACCCACACACCGCGCCCGCGCCGCCGCCCUCGCUCCUCGGUCCCCGGCGCCGCCGUCCGUCCCAGAGGCUCUCCAAGGUCGUGUCCUACUACGGCCUCACGACUCCGCCGUACAAAACCGACGCCCUGGAGCCGUACAUGAGCAGGCGGGCGGUGGAGCUGCACUGGGGCAAGCACCAGCAGGACUACGUGGACGGGCUCAACAAGCAGCUGGCCAUCAGCCCGCUCUACGGCCACACCCUCGAGGACCUCAUCAAGGAGGCCUACAACAACGGCAACCCGCUGCCCGAGUACAACGACGCGGCUGAGGUCUGGAACCAUCACUUCUUCUGGGAGUCGAUGCAGCCGGAAGGCGGUGGCUCACCCGAGGCAGGCGUGCUGCAGCAGAUCGAGAAGGACUUCGGCUCCUUUUUUAAUUUCAGGGAGGAGUUCAUGCGCUCGGCGUUGUCAUUGUUGGGGUCUGGUUGGGUUUGGCUUGUCUUGAAGAGAAGCGAGAGGAAGCUCGAGGUGGUUCACACGCGAAACGCUAUCAACCCACUUGCUUUUGGGGAUAUUCCAAUCAUCAGCCUAGACUUGUGGGAGCAUGCUUACUACUUAGAUUACAAGGAUGACAGGCGAACAUAUGUGUCAAACUUUCUGGAUCACCUUGUCUCUUGGCAUACUGUCACUCUACGCAUGAUGCGCGCGGAGGCUUUUGUGAACCUUGGUGAACCAACUAUCCCAGUGGCAUGAGAUGAUAUGGACAUGACCUGGAGUUGUCUCUAAAUAUGUCAAUCUCACGAGGGACGCCAAGGAAAAUCCUGAACCACAUCCUACUGCAUGAGACGGAGAGUUUGCGGGGGGCAGCGUGAUGUAACCACGUCAUGCGAUGCACGGUGAACAAGUAAGCUCUGCCUGGAGAUAAGACAGCUGAUGUUUCGUCGUUGUCCUCAUUCGUCGCUACAGGGAAGUGACCUCCCAUUUCAAGUUAUUAUGCAGUAAAAGCAGGCAUGGACGCUUCAGAGCAGGGUGACUUAACUCUAGAGUAUGGACUAUCGAUCUAACUUGUGCUUGAAGCCACGGAAGUUUCUGUCUUAGAGCAAUCUCCCAUGGUGCUGUUAGAACAGCCCCUAGUUUUCCACGGCUUGUAGUCACAGCUUUUCAUCAUUCUGUUGCAACAGAAUUCAACCAUUGUGCGCUGAGGCAUAUAACCCCAUGAAUGUUUGCCUUGCUGAAACAUAUUCUUCUUUUUCAUGAAUAUUUGCCUGGGCA